CAGUAAUAUUCCUCUUGGUAUUGCAUUUAUUUCGAAAUACAUUACAUCCAGCACUCGUAGUAGUGGUAGCAGUAGAAACUAUGUUUACAGACGACACAACAAUGAACCAAAACAUACGCGAAUCUAUCUGUUGGCCUGCUCUAGCUGAGCAGCCUUGUCCUGGUGCACGAAGAAGGCGUAGAACCCACCACCGAUUGUGGCAAAUGCCAUCGCCCAGACGAUCACGGCGACCACCGGCGGCAUGAUUGCCGCCACCUUGUACGAGAACAUCACCGUGAGCAACGUCGUCAGUCCCCAUACAAAGACCUUGAGCCAUUCCCGGCGGGCAGAGUCCCUCGGCGCUUUCUCGAAGAGACGGAGGCACGCGAAGAGCAGCACGAGAUCGAUGUACGAUGUUAAUACGAACGCCACCGAUCCACGAUCGCCAUCGGACCGGUAGAUCGCCAUCCCGGAGUUGAAGGUAAGGAAACCGAAUCCCAGAGCUGUCAGCCAUGAGAAUCCGCCCUCGUUAUCAUUCAUGCUCGUGGAUGCCUCCCGCUGAACAAGCGGCUGUUUUCUCGGCGACACUGAAGACAUGCCUGUGACAACGCCAGCUUGCGAGGCAGGAUCAAGGCCACAGCCGGCCUCUUUAUCUCAAAUCCUCUCACUCUCUCAGAGCCGGGUUCCGGAGCAGACGGAUGAUGGCUGGGGUGGGG
rnacentral:misc_RNA from 1 species